GACGAACCUCUGGUGUUCCGGUUGUCACGCCAGUGGCAUUGCCGGGUAGCUAUGUUCGGAAAAGAUAACCGCUGAAAGCAUCUAAGCGGGAAACUUGCCUCAAGAUGAGAUCUCACUGGGAACUUGAUUCCCCUGAAGGGCCGUCGAAGACUACGACGUUGAUAGGCUGGGUGUGUAAGCGUUGUGAGGCGUUGAGCUAACCAGUACUAAUUGCCCGUGAGGCUUGACCAUAUAACACCCAAACA
rnacentral:rRNA from 1 species